GCUAGGAGGCGUCAAAUAUGAACAACAGUGCUACUAGCCCAGGUUUAUUUACCUCUAGGUUUACAUUCAAAAGUAAAGUCUUAAAAUACCACAAAACAAAUAUGGAAAUGCCCUAUUUGUUUUUUGUUUUUUUUGUUUUUUUGCAAUUUUAAUGGUAUUAUUAUUUUUUUAAACAUGUUUUUUAAUUCGUUUUCGGAAGAUCCAGUUUUAUAUUUGAAGGUUGAACCCCCUUAUGUGCCACAUGAAAAGUUGCUCAUGGAGGACAGGGAAUAUACCUAGCUUCAACUUUUUAGGAGGCCUUUCGACCAGAACAUGGAGGCUGAAGCUCAAGCUCAUCCUUGAGAGCAUCUUGACAUAUGCCAGUGGUAACGCUGUGAGGGAUGGAGAUGAUCUUCUAGCAUGACAUCUAAAUACAAUGAUAUAAUCAUCACCUCAGUAUAGUAAGUGUUGUGGCCUUGCAGUAUCCAUCUUUGGAGUCUGUAUGGUGACGGAGGGAUCCAGACUGAAGGAUUUGACCUUAUGAGCAGACCUGGAUGACAUCCAUGUUAUUGUACCAAAUGCCAUCUGCCCUAUUUGUUCUUGGCCCAGACUCCAAAAGUCCUCGGCUCUUGGUACAUAUCCAGCCCGACCCAGUAUGCUAUUUGAAUCAAAUUGUGGUAGAGUCACAGAGAAACAGAUCUGUUUCAUAAGAUAUAUGUAUUUGUAUCCAGCUGUUAUUAGGGAAUGAAAUUCAUCAUCAUGGAUGUUGCACUAUGGAUGAGG
ensembl:lncRNA